AGAGUUUGAUCCUGGCUCAGGAUGAACGCUAGCGGCAGGCCUAACACAUGCAAGUCGAGGGGUAUUAGGAGCUUGCUUCUGAGAGACCGGCGCACGGGUGAGUAACGCGUAUGCAAUCUACCUUUCACAAGAGAAUAGCCCGGAGAAAUCCGGAUUAAUGCUCUAUGGUUUAUAGAACUGGCAUCGGUUUUAUAAUAAAGAUUUAUCGGUGAAAGAUGAGCAUGCGUCUCAUUAGCUAGUUGGUGUGGUAACGGCAUACCAAGGCAAUGAUGAGUAGGGGUCCUGAGAGGGAGAUCCCCCACACUGGUACUGAGACACGGACCAGACUCCUACGGGAGGCAGCAGUGAGGAAUAUUGGUCAAUGGAGGCAACUCUGAACCAGCCAUGCCGCGUGCAGGAUGACGAUCCUAUGGAUUGUAAACUGCUUUUUGUACAGGA
rnacentral:rRNA from 1 species